UGAUUGUAAUGAUAGUCAUAAGGCUGUUUCAAAACUGUGAGCUUUUGAUCAUAUCUCAAAUAGCAUGUUUUAUCAUCUCAAUCUGAUACUGUCCAACUGAGCUUCUUUCAUAGAAGAAGCAAUGUUAGCGUAGUUUAUAUUAUGAUCGUGGGUGUAAGAUUUUCUACAUAUUAACGUAAUUGGAUGUAUGAAAUAUGGAGAAGAUGCAAUAUAAAAAUGAUUAUUCUAUUUGUGAUAUCAAUGCGGUCUCUUAUUUGGCCUUUGUUGAAAUGCAGCUAUAAUAAUUAGGGUAAGUCACAGUCAUCUUUCUCAAGCUUCGAACCUCAUUGCAUUCUCGGCCCCAACUCUUUAUUUAUUUAUUUAUUUAUUAGAAGAAGCAAUAUUAGCGUAGUUUAUAUUAUGAUCGUGGGUGUAAGAUUUUCUACAUAUUAACGUAAUUGGAUGUAUGAAAUUUGGAGAAGAUGAAAUAUAAAAAUGAUGAUUCUAUUUGUGAUAUCAAUGCGGUCUCUUAUUUGGCCUUUGUUGAAAUGCAG
rnacentral:lncRNA from 1 species